AUAAAUGAACAACUGGGUGAGCUGCGUGCCGACUGCUCAGGUCAUGAUUUAACCCAGGCCUGCGGAUACGUUGCUAGGCAUACUAAUCCUUACACAACGAAGGCACUUGCAUCGGUGGCUGCGCGUGAAAUAUCAAUAAAACAAAGCAUCAUCAUUAACUAUAGUAGCAUACGGUACAAACACAUGCAAAAAAAAUGUUGUAUGUGUUAAAUAGUGUCGGUACGUAAGAAGUGCUUGAGUUGGGUGACGAAGAGUGUGCGGAGGUGUUGUCAGGCGAUGUUGGGCGUCUUGACCAGUUAGCAACGAGCCGUCACACCGCCACUGAGCCACAUGCACUGACAAGGGAAGCAAGACUUUUCACUCCCAAUCCGGAUCUCAGAUAAAAAGGACAGCGGGUAUUUCUUUAUCGAGCGGUGGCCCUGAAUCGUGGCUCUUCGAUGCACUGACGGUGGCGGCUAUGGCGCUUAGUCAAUGAUUCGCCGAAGUGAAGGACGAUCAAUGCGUGAUAGAGGCUUUUUUCAACUAAACCUGCUGAGAGAUGACUAGCGGAGACUAUUUCCUGUCCUUGGAACAUUCAGGGUAAAUGUGGACAUAUAUGCUUAACUUGUACGUCGUGCAUAUAAACGUGUGUGUGUGUGUGUGUGUGUGUGUGUGUGUGUGUGUUCCUUAGGUUUCUGGUUUUAUUUAAUGUAAUUUGCAACAUGUUUGUUUGAAUAAUUAAAAUGCAAAGUCUGGUUCAUACGCAACACUGUGCAUUACCUUCCAUGAUGACUCCUCUCAUAAUCAGUGAGCUUGUGGUAGAAAUUUCCCUUUCUUCAUCCUAGCUAUUACGGUCUACCUUGCUUAGGUUUUCCACGGUACUAAGCACUCAUUGCCUGACCCCAGUAGAGGAUGAAUGGGUGGGGGUUGUGUACCUUUUACCCUUGGUCGAAGUCGGACAGUAGCAGGCGGGUUCAUAAUAUAGGUUCACUAAAUAUUAAUACGCAUUUAGUUAAACUUCAUAAUGAAUAUUCUGGAUGAAAACGUGAAUUUUUAUUUUUUCGCGCAAAAGUCCCAGCCUUUCUUUGCCAGUUAGAGAAACCUGUUGAGGGUGGAGGCACCAGGUUUUAGCAUAAACCUUUGACCGUGUCAUCCAGUAUUUACUUUGGUGAUUCUGCCUGAGGAAGGCAUGAGGUGGAUGCUCCCAAGCCGGGUAUAAAGCAGGGCACCGCACACAGCCCUCAACAGACUUGUGGAAGCAUUCGGUCCACCAGGUUUUCGUUGGCAUUAUGAAGUUCUUUUUGGUCGUGAUGGUGGCUCUGGCCUGCGUAAUGACAGCCUACGGUCUGCCUGGCCCAGUUGCCUUCGCUGGCCCUCACCCUGAAGCUUACCCAGACCCUUCGGCUGACCCGCACUGGCACUGGGGUGGUUGGGGCCACCACCACCACCACCACCAUGGUUUCCACUGGGGAUAAUCAAUCAUCUGCAUCCUGCCAGACCAGACUCGAAGGCGACGAUUUUGACGGCGAUGACCACAAAGACCACCGAGAACUCUGGAAUGGAUUCAGGAAAUGAUUUGGUUCCCUCAGAGCCGCGCUCUACACCUUAUCUCACGGGGCGAACAAGGUUGGGAUACCCACCAAAAGGCAUUAUGAAAAUAUCUGUCUUGAAUCAGGCGACUUUUGUCCACAGUUGUCGUAAAUUUUGAGUGAAAAUUGUUCUCUUUAUCUUUCAAUAAAGACUGCACAUUCACGUCUUAAUAUUUAAAUUGUUAAACUGUUGGAUGAAACUAUUGUAAUAAACUUCAAUAUAAUAACAUCAAGUAUACGUGAUUACAUACACACGCACACACACACACACACACACACACACACACACAC